rnacentral:tRNA from 1 species
UGCCCAGGUAGCUCAGUCGGUAGAGCAGUGGACUGAAAAUCCUCGUGUCGGUGGUUCAAACCGCCCCGGACCA